GUUGUCCUCAGGCCAUUAGGGGAUAAGCCCUCUAGAGGCCGUGGAGGAGGCCGCGGGGCCAGAGGUGGCCGUGGGCGAGGCAUGGGACGUGGAGAUGGCUUCGAUUCCCGGGGCAAACGUGACUUUGACAGACACAGCGGCAAUGACAAAUCUCGACAGAAAGGAGAGGAGAAGCGUGGUGGGAGUGGCUUGCACAACUGGGGCAAUGUGAAGGAA